UACGGAGGGUGCAAGCGUUGCUCGGAAUUAUUGGGCGUAAAGGGUAGGUAGGUGGUCUUAUUUGUCUGGGGUGAAAUCCUUGAGCUUAACUCAAGAAGUGCCCUAGAAACGGUAAGACUAGAGUCUUGGAGAGGGUCGUGGAAUUCCACGUGUAGCAGUGAAAUGCGUAGAGAUGUGGAGGAACACCGAUGGCGAAGGCAGCCCCCUGGGUCAAAACUGACGCUCAUGCACGAAAGCGUGGGGAGCAAACAGG
rnacentral:rRNA from 1 species